rnacentral:rRNA from 1 species
UGUAGGCUGCAACUCGCCUACAUGAAGUCGGAAUUGCUAGUAAUCGUGGAUCAGCAUGCCACGGUGAAUACGUUCCCGGGUCUUGUACACACCGCCCGUCACACCAUGGGAGCUGGUAACACCCGAAGUCAGUAGUCUAACCGCAAGGAGGACGCUGCCGAAGGUGGGGAUUAGCGACUGGGGUGAAGUCGUAACAAGGUAUC